UUUAUGUAUGCUUUUAAUAAACAAAUUUCAUUUUCACCAAAUAUCCUAAGGAGCCUCCCCACAUACUGCAGCGUAGUUAGUCAUGAUUCGUUUUCACAAAUUGGAAAGAUCUGUGUGGAAUAUAACUCAGUUCCAAGGGAAAAGAUAGAAACAAAUAUGUGAACCAGGAAGAAACAUAAGCCUCUCAGACAAGAAGUGUGAUGGAGCAUAUAAAUAGAUAUGCAGAUCUUAUGACCUAGAAGCGUCAUACAGAAACCAUACAGGCCAAAAAGUUCAGUCAGCCUAAACCUACAUUGUCACUUACUGCCAUUAGCACACAAUUCUCAUGAGAUGGAAAGGAGUAAAGCAAUCAGAACAUUGACACUCAUCAAGCACAGAGGCAGUAUCAAAUUAGUUCUCCAAAGCUCACCAGACUUUCUCGGCCACGAAGUUCAUUGUGGUCAUUUCCUAAAAUAGGAGCAGUAAGUGGAUGAACCACCAGUUUUGCUUGUACAGCCUCUAACAGCCCAUAUUCUUCCCUGCAGAAAAGGAAACUCUAGUCAAGAACAGCACGCAGCCUAUAAUUACACGUAUUUUCAGCAAGAAUAAAUGAAAGUUAGUUGGGUAAAAAAUGUCCUUAGAGGAAUUAAUCUACAAGUAACGAAUCGUCCAAAUUUUCAUUAAAAAGGAUCUUUUAUUUUAAAUGUAUAAAUGUUGUAUAAAUUCAAUCAAAUUCAAACAAUAAUUUCAACCACAUCAUAAGUACUACUCAUUGUAACAUCUGGAGAGCAUCCUACGUUACAAACAUUUCUGGUACUUAAAAAGGUUUGAUACAUUCAUUGAGGACUAUACUUGCUAGUUAUUCUUGUUGGGAAAAAAAAAAUUCUGAAUCUGCGCACAUCAUUCAGAAAUUCCAUCAAAUGAUUAAAAACAAUUCCAAACCCAAAUCCAAAUCCUUCCCACUAAUAAUGAUCGUGAGUAUUUUCAAUCAGGUUCUACGAGAGUAUCUUAGCAAUCAUGGGAUAGUCCAUCAAAGUACAUGUAGGAACGUCUCAACAAAAUGGGAUAGUCAAACGAAAGAAUAGACAUCUCCUAGAGCUUGCUAGAGCCCUAAUUUUUACGGACAAUGUGUCAAAAUUGUUUUUGGGGAAGCUGUCCUUACAAUGUCUUAUAUCAUAAAUCGACUUUCUUCAAGUGUCCUCCAACUUAAAACCACUCCAAACACUUUUUCAAUAUUAUCCACAGAAUAGAUUAUUUCAAAAUCUUCCUAUUAAGGUCUUCGGGUGUAUAUUGUUGGAUUGAUAAGUGCAAGAAAGUGUAUUUCAAACACCAAAUUACUAUGCUAAAAUGCCAAAAAGUGAAUAAAAAUCAUAGGAAUUAAUUUAUGUUCUUUAAGUGUUGUUCUAUUUACUUUUAAGAUAAUUUCUAAUCCAAUUCAUGAGUUUAAUUUCAAGUUUUUAUCCAAAUGAAGAAUGGAUCCUAAAAAAUAAAAAAUAAAAAUAGGCCAGCACUGGAAUUCUGCCGGAAUGGACAUGGCGCCGUAGUGCCGGUAAUGGGAACCACCAGGUCGAUUGUGGAGUAAAGGAGUUUUCAGCUUUUUUGACUCUUUUCUAGCCUAUUCAAAUUCAAAUCUGUUGGGGACAUUAAAAGGCACGAGAAAGACAACCUUGAAAGGACACUUUUUAAAGAGCAACAGGGGAAAAACAAGAGGAGAUGACAUACAAUUCCAUGGAGAACCAAACAUCUUGGUGAAGCUAGGAAGGAACUCAAUUAGAUUCGUUGAAUUCAACAUUAUUUGAUUCAUAGAUUUCGAAUUUUCUAAAACAAUUUUAUGGUUUAGAACUUCUUUUCAUACAAGUGUUUUGAGAUUGACUAAACUUUUAUUAAAUUCUUCAUAGAUUCAAUCGCGCUCUCUCUAAUGAUUGAAAUACUUGUUUAAGUUUUAAUUUAAUCUCAUUUAUCUAUUUUUACUAAUGUGAUUCAUUACUACUUUAUGCUUCAAGUAUAUGGUUGUCUUUGAAUCUUACUCUACUAAACAAAAGUAUGAAUGCUUUGGCAAGGAGUUAAUCAUUAGAAUUACAAUUGAAUUAAACUGAUUUUAAUUACAUUUCUUCCAAUUAGAGAAACUAGAUUGAGCAUCUCUAAUUGAGUUAUAAGAAUGAACCAUUGAUGUUGAAUGACCUAAUCGAAUUAAAGGAAUUCUAACACUUCACUAUAUCAAACCUUGAUUUUAAUUUCAUUUAAACAAAUAAAUUCUAUCACACAUUUAAGAGAACAUUCACCUUUUGGAUUUUUGAAGUAUU
rnacentral:lncRNA from 1 species